UGAGCCUAGGGCAGUGCCUUGUCAGGUU
rnacentral:piRNA from 1 species